rnacentral:lncRNA from 1 species
CAUGCCGUCCGUGGCUUGGUGCUUCCCUCCAUAAGGGAGUUCUUGCCUGCCCAGAUCCGUGUCGACCAGGGAUGAGGAUCGAUGUUCGGCGCUCGAUGAGAGGCCUGGUGGCGCAGCCAGCCGGGAGAUGCCUUGAAGCGGUGGGUGGCCCGUUUUUGGUGGCGAAGGCGCUUGCCGGAGGCAGCGCCGAGUUCCACGAGGAGGAUGGUAUGGUUUCGUUCCUUUGGUUCACCUCCGUCGCUCGUUCGAUCCCACCUUGUGAUAGAUACCUACUCAGUGAAAAAGAAUCUACCCCUUUUCAUAUCCCCGAUCGAGGGCUAGGUCUUUUGCUCGCUCGCAUGCCUGCGUUGUCCCCAUUCUUCUCGCACGCCACCACCUCCACCGUCCCCAUCAAUCCUUCUUGCAUGCCACCGCCAUCCUCCUGCCCGAAAGCCCCGGUAUCCUCGUCGUUCCUCGACGCCUUCUCACAAAACAUCACCAUGCCAUCUCACCUUGCCGCGAACCCCGUAAGCGAUGACGCUCUGAUUCAAUGGAUGGAGAUUUUGAAGUCCAGAUUCACAUUGGUGCCCUUCGGCGACUCGUUGUUCUGCUUUUCUCCCCCACUCGUUAUUCUUAUCCACCUCCUUUGUCCUCCUACAUACAUGCAAAUUGUGGUGAUAUUGUUGUAUACUUCAGUUUUGUGGAGGAGUUUGCAUCAUAUUGUGGUCCGUGACAAAAGAAUGUGUUUCUACUUUUGUCUGUGCACAUUGUGAUCGUCGGUCGCAGCAAGGCUUAGUUCUCAUCUGCAUGUCCGCCCACGAUAUCUGCGGCUACUCCAUCGUCUACUGUUGUUGCCGCUGUUCCGGUGCGGUGGCCACAGAUUGCAAUUCCACCUGGUGGACUUAAAUGGCAUAUAGUACGGCAGCGAGAUGGAGUCCCACCCCGAUGCCCAGAUCUGUAAGUGUGUUAGAGUGGCUCAGAUUGCAAUUAGAACACUCAUUAGCACAGAUCUAAUGGUGUAACUUAGAAAUACUUCAACU